rnacentral:rRNA from 1 species
ACGCUGGCGGCGUGCCUAAUACAUGCAAGUAGGACGCACAGUCUAUACCGUAGCUUGCUACACCAUAGACUGUGAGUUGCGAACGGGUGAGUAACGCGUAGGUAACCUGCCUAUUAGAGGGGGAUAACUAUUGGAAACGAUAGCUAAUACCGCAUAACAGUAUGUAACACAUGUUAGAUGCUUGAAAGAUGCAAUUGCAUCGCUAGUAGAUGGACCUGCGUUGUAUUAGCUAGUAGGUAGGGUAAUGGCCUACCUAGGCGACGGUACAUAGCCGACCUGAGAGGGUGAUCGGCCACACCGGGACUGAGACACGGCCCAGACUCCUACGGGAGGCAGCAGUAGGGAAUCUUCGGCAAUGGGGGGAACCCUGACCGAGCAACGCCGCGUGAGUGAAGAAGGUUUUCGGAUCGUAAAGCUCUGUUGUUAAGGAAGAACGAGUGUGAGAAUGGAAAGUUCAUACUGUGACGGUACUUAACCAGAAAGGGACGGCUAACUACGUGCCAGCAGCCGCGGUAAUACGUAGGUCCCGAGCGUUGUCCGGAUUUAUUGGGCGUAAAGCGAGCGCAGGCGGUUAGAAAAGUCUGAAGUGAAAGGCAGUGGCUCAACCAUUGUAGGCUUUGGAAACUGUUUAACUUGAGUGCAGAAGGGGAGAGUGGAAUUCCAUGUGUAGCGGUGAAAUGCGUAGAUAUAUGGAGGAACACCGGUGGCGAAAGCGGCUCUCUGAUCUGUAACUGACGCUGAGGCUCGAAAGCGUGGGGAGCGAACAGGAUUAGAUACCCUGGUAGUCCACGCCGUAAACGAUGAGUGCUAGGUGUUGGGUCCUUUCCGGGACUCAGUGCCGCAGCUAACGCAUUAAGCACUCCGCCUGGGGAGUACGACCGCAAGGUUGAAACUCAAAGGAAUUGACGGG